rnacentral:lncRNA from 1 species
AUAGUGAUCACCGGUCUCUCUCUCUCCUUUCUCCUUGUUUUCUCCGAUUGAAGUCAAGGCCUCCCGUACUUGUGCUCGCCAGAAAUUGGAGCUGACGACAUUGCCGAAGCUCGAGGUAAGCCCCUCCUCUUCUUCCUCUCCCUCUUCCCUUCCUCUCCUGGCCCAAGACCUCACCGCCGGCCAUCGAUUUUGCUGGAAAUAAAUU